AAUGAACGUUGGCGGCGUGGAUUAGGCAUGCAAAUCGAGCGCUCACCCGCAAGGGUGGGAGCGGCGAAAGGGAGAGUAACGCGUGGGUAUCUGCCCUCGGGACUGGGAUAGCUGCGGGAAACUGCAGGUAAUACCAGAUGACGUCCCCGGACCAAAGGUGUGAUUCCGCCUGAGGAUGAGCCCGCGUCCUAUUAGCUAGUUGGUAGGGUAAUGGCCUACCAAGGCAAUGAUGGGUACUGGGUGUGAGAGCACGACCCAGCUCACUGGGACUGAGACACUGCCCAGACACCUACGGGUGGCUGCAGUCGAGAAUCUUCGGCAAUGGGCGAAAGCCUGACCGAGCGACGCCGCGUGUGGGAUGAAGGCCUUCGGGUUGUAAACCGCUGUCAGAGGGGAGGAAUGGGCGGAGGGUAAUCUCUUCGUUUUGACCUAUCCUCAGAGGAAGUACGGGCUAAGUUCGUGCCAGCCGCCGCCGUAAUAC
rnacentral:rRNA from 1 species